GAGGUGUAGCUCAGUUGGUUAGAGUACCAGCUUGUCACGCUGGGGGUCGCGGGUUCGAGUCCCGUCACUUCC
rnacentral:tRNA from 1 species